rnacentral:rRNA from 1 species
AUGACCAGAUUUGCCCAUCCUGCUUCCAAUGGAUCCGAACACUCCAACAUCAUUUCACCUGUCUACUCUUUCUGGGCUAUAUUCAUUGGACUUUGCAUGGCUAAUUAUGUCGUGGAGUGGUCAACUGGAUGGGCUCUAACUCAUCCUUUACCAAUUUCGGAGUAUGAGAAUCUGAAGAAACUGUUGAAAUCUGAUUUUGAGGACACGGUUCGUCAGUAUUCUGCGACCUCAACAGAUUUGCUUAAAACUGUUUUCAACCUCAUGAUAUCAGUCACACUUUUUGUUGGUCGAUUUGACAUGCGUAUGAUGCAGGCUGCUAUGAACAAAGGUCCAGACGAAUCUAAGAGCGGCGACCUUUUAUACGAUCAUCUUGAUGGAAAAGACGAACUUUCAUUUGACAUCAUUGCAGAUGCCGGCGAUUGUGGCAACUCUACAUAUGCCAUAGCACCCUUACUUGCUCAACGUUCUUUAGUCGUAAAAUCUGAUGAUUCCAGGCUUAUAUUUCCCGGUGGAGAACUACUACUUAUUGGUGGAAACCUCGUGUAUGCUGCAUACUUUGAUCGUUUACACCAUUUGAAGUUUUCAGUUCAUGUUUGCUGA